rnacentral:rRNA from 1 species
AGAGUGAACGCUGGCGGUAGGCCUAACACAUGCAAGUCGAACGGCAGCACAGGAGAGCUUGCUCUCUGGGUGGCGAGUGGCGGACGGGUGAGGAAUACAUCGGAAUCUACCUUUUCGUGGGGGAUAACGUAGGGAAACUUACGCUAAUACCGCAUAAGACCUUCGGGUGAAAGCCGGGGACCUUCGGGCCUGGCGCGGAUAGAUGAGCCGAUGUCGGAUUAGCUUGUUGGCGGGGUAAAAGCCCACCAAGGCGACGAUCCGUAGCUGGUCUGAGAGGAUGAUCAGCCACACUGGAACUGAGACACGGUCCAGACUCCUACGGGAGGCAGCAGUGGGGAAUAUUGGACAAUGGGCGCAAGCCUGAUCCAGCCAUGCCGCGUGUGUGAAGAAGGCCUUCGGGUGUAAAGCACUUUUAUCGGAGCGAAAAGCGCAAGGUUAAUACCCCUGCGUCAUGACGUACCCGAGGAAUAAGCACCGGCUAACUCGUGCCAGCAGCCGACGG